CACAGCACACUUUCAGCCACUCUGCUGACAGAGGAUCACUACAAGUGUCCAGUGUGCACGGAAGUCUUUAAGGAUCCAGUUUCCAUGCCCUGUGGACACAGUUACUGCAAACACUGCAUUGAGAUCUACUGGAGCAAACCAACUCAAGCUGGAGCUUACGUGUGUCCUCAGUGCAGAAAGAGGUUCAGAGAUCGUCCUGUGUUGAAUGUAAAUGUGGCUUUGUCUAAACUGAUUGAGGAACUUCAGAAGGCAGGGUUUAGUCCUGCUCUUCCUGCUCACUGCUACGCUGGACCUGAAGAUGUGCCCUGUGAUAUCUGCACUGAGAUGAAGCUCAAAGCUGUUAAAUCCUGUUUGACCUGCACUGCGUCUUACUGUGAGACACACGUCAGACAACACUACACAGUACCAGCACUGCAGAGACACAACCUGGUGGAGAGAGCUGCCUGAUCCACAGAUGUUUAUUCAUGGAGGCACAUGAAAACAACUUCUGAAGAAACAUCACCUGCUGCUGAUAUUCAAAAACUAGCUUCACAAUACAUGUCCACAUGCUCUGAGAGCAUCAGAGCGUUUUUUUAACGCGCUGAAUGAAUGUGAUUGCCCAGGCCAUUUUCUGCACUCUUGUGAAAGCUUGCAUUAUAGUCAACAUAGUGUACACAUGGUGCAAAUACUUAAAAAUAGAUAAAAUAAAGAGAUUUUUUUUUGUUCAUUGAUUAUAACAGUGUUAACAAGAGUAAUGUGUUUUAGAUAUUUUCAGUUGACCUCUGAGUUUUAUUGACUUUUAGAUUUUACCUAUACAACUUGUAAAUAAACUUGUAGUUUAGUUUUACGUAAGUUGAUUUGCUUAGAAUGUUUUGUAAAUUAGCUUGAACUACUGAUUCUGCUUUGUCUAGGCUACUGUAUUAAUACAAGACAGUAAGGACACCAAGGAGAUCAAAGAGCUUGAUGUUGCAUUCAUUGAUGAGAUUUCAAGGGAUGAAAAAAUGGAAUAUUCUCAUCCAACUAAGUGCUUCUACAGUGGGUUUUCCACUAAUGGUAUG